GUUUUUGGUUUGUACAUUAUGCACAACAAGACAUUCCGUUACAUUCAAGAGUGUGUGAAAAAUACUCGAGCGCCAGGCACCCAAUCAAGGGGGCCAUGCAAAGCGGCACUCAGAGUCAUAGAUGCACAGGUGUGUGGAUUUGCGACCCGACAGACGUGCACAUGUGUCUCCACCAGCACAAUCCGACGAGCCGACUUUGAAGAUUCACUAAUGAUCCUUCCGCAGGUUCACCUACGGAAA
rnacentral:misc_RNA from 1 species